rnacentral:lncRNA from 1 species
UUACUUGAUCUCUCCUCUGUAGCCGUCUGCAGUCUGGCUGCAUCCCUGCUGAGGCAGCGUAUCCAAGGAAUACAGUCAGGAGGCGCGACCAGGAGAAGUCAGGACUAUCAGGAGCCCCCCAGGUGAUAAGGGAUCACAGCUCGGCCUUUCUUCCGGCCCCAGUUCAAGUCUCUCCCUGUGUUCUGCAGAAGCUGCGGAGGAGAGACAGAGCCGGCCUGCUGUCAGGACGGAGCAGACGGGGGAUGAGUGAGUCGCGAGGGGGGGGCCGGGAGGUGAUGGACGUCCGGGGGCCCCGCGGACAGUGGGACGAGGGCCUGAUGGAAAGAAACACAGGUUCAAAGUCUGGUCAUCUCUUCUGGUUCGCAGUCCGUUUGACUCCUCGUCCCGUGCGUUCCCUGGCCCGACGGUGUACAGACGUAUCCCUCCACGUUCACUGAGGUGAUCUAACGUGCGUCACACCACACCUGGCUCCCCUCUCUGGAGGCUGCUGCUGAAGGUGGAACAGCACCGGCUCUCGGCCCGCACAGAUGCGCAGAGAGGCACCCUCACGGCGGCCUGCUGGGGACGGACCAGAACCAAGGACUCCACAUCCUCAGCCCGGGGUCCUCCUCACCUAAAACACACCCCAUCUAUUUUUGACGAGUUUUUCACUAACAUUGUAAUAUCUGGUUCAAACUAUCCGAACACAAGAGCAAGAUGUAGUCGCCCAGCUCCCUGUAAAUGCGAGCUAUUUCUCUCUCUCUCCCUCUAUAGGAACAGAAGAACUAUUAGGAGACGCUAUAGAAUAUUAUACUAGCCGGUAUUCAGUUGAGAUUUGGAGAUCAGCAAUGAGCAGUCUGUUUUUUUCCACUGAUAUGUUUGAAUUAUUUCUCAUGGGUGUGCAUAAUGGCAAUAUAAAUCUUUCUGGGUGUGCAAUUACAAAGACUGGCAUGGUCUAUUCCCCACUGGGUGAUCGCCUGCGAACAAUGACAUAUCACCGGCUGGCCGGCAGUGGUCAUUAAGAACUGAUAUGGGAUUUAUGGCCAGUCUUUAAACAUAAGAUGGCAUUAAGGAGAUUUGAAUGCAGUCAGAAUGGCACAGAGAAUCCUGCCUAAGCAAGACGGAGCUAAUGAACUGUGGUUAAAAAGCAGGAGGAAAGGAAGUUAUUUCGGGUAAAGCCAAUUCCUCAUCAAGCAAAAUGACUAUGAUUAUAAUCAUAGGUUGUCAUAUUCCAUAACAGAUUGGCUGCCUAUUAUUGGUUUUGUAUCUGUGCAGUUUAAUAUGCUUAUAAUGAGCAAAGCUGAACAAUUAAACUGUUUAUAUUGAGUAAUGAUUUCUGCAUCUCUGCGAGCUUAUUGCCAUACUUGGGAUUUGACAGUUGUAAGAAUGUUCCGAAAU